rnacentral:misc_RNA from 1 species
UUGGUUAUGUAUUGCUACAUUCAUCCAAUCUAAAUAGAAUUAUUUUGUUUGAGCUUAUACAAAUUAACUGAAGGGUGAUGCAGAUUGUGCACCUUCAUGCAGUGAAGCUCAUGGGCAAAAGUUUUUGAGUUAAUUUUCAGUGUUUCAACCCAACAAUAGGGAAUAUUCAUUUUCCAAAUGCAAGUCAUUCUCUGCACAACAAUGCAGCCUAAGCAUAUUUGGCGGGGGUGAGGUUUUAGGGAUAUAUGGGUAGGGGUACUGGUGCUUUGUCUGUUUGGCAUAUGAAAGCAACACAAGGUGCUUUAACUAAAUCAUUGGGCUUAAUUAGUGGAUAUGGGUGUUGGUAUUGGCAAAGGCAAUAAUAAUGGUCAUAUCAGUGGUGAUCCUCUUCUCUUCCUUCCUGAUACUGGCUCUUGCAUUUAUGUAUUUGCAUGAUUUUUCAUCUUUUUAUGACGAGUUUUUGCUUUGCCUAAUGUGUAUGACUGGCUAGAAAUCAAAUUUACUCGGUCCAUACAAAUUCUAAUUUGCUGUUUGUAAAUCAUAAGUUUUCUCAGAUUUCACCUAUAAUGUUGCCUUUUGAUGUACUCAAGUAAUGGAGGCAUGAAUAAAAUAUGAUGAUUCAUGGUUAGUUAUGAAAAUUUGC